AAGUUAGUACAGUGAACACAGUUACAGUGUGAGUUGGUACAGUGAACACAGUUACAGUGUGAGUUAGUACAGUGAACAGACCUGUGACUGAGCCUGUUGCGGAGGUUGCAACCCCUCUACUGUUGUGGGCCUCACAGGAGAACCUGCUGGUCUGGUUGAGGCCUGCGUGGAGACCGACACAAGGAUUUAAAAACACGGGUAGAGUUUCUGGAGAGAGGGUACGAGCCAUGUGAUCUACUGCAUUUCACUGUGGGAUUUUCCUGAAUCUCUGUACAGUUUAGUCUGAUGUUUCUCUGAAUCCUAACACUGUACAGUGUGAGAAGACAAGAAAUGAGAGAAUCUGCUGUGUACCUACCUGUGACGUUCAGAGAGGAGGGAGACAGGGAGAGGGGGUCUUGCAGGGUGUUGAGAGGUUCUCCGUUCUGCAGCCAGAUGAUCCUUACAGGUUCUGGGGGCCCGUGAGCAGAACACUGCAGGCUGAAGAGGCUGUUAGCCUCCUUGCUAAUAUCACCAGGCUCCACAGAGAAAUGAGGAAUCCCUGUUGGACAUGGAGACGGGCUCAGACACAGGUGGAGGUAGCAGGUGGAGACAGGGAUCUGGACUUGGUUUGUGUCGGCGUAUUCCACCGUCUCUCCAUUCCUGAGCCACACAACGUCUGGGGGCUCCACGAGCCCUCCGUCCCCGCGGAGGGAACAUCUUGCCUCCACGGGCUUCCCCAGGGACGAGGUCAGGUUACCAGGGUUACUCACGAACCGGAGCACUGACACGGACAAGUCAGAGGACAAUAAAUCUACUAGGAACCGUUUACGUGGACGUACACUCAGGUUUAAUUGAAAACAACAACUAUUUAACCUGUAUAAUUAAUUGGUUGGGCAGUGUAGGCUACGUGUACAUUGCAAGCCAUGACCGAUCGCUCCACUUUACUACAGCAGAUAACGGACAGAAAACUAUGAAUAGGCCUAUUUAGAUAACUGCCUCAAAGUAGAGCUAUAGUUAUACACGUAGGUACUGUGCAUGUUAUAUUAACACACAAACCUGAUAGUUUCAAACAACAAUAUAGAACAACAACAACGUUUCCAAAUGCUGAGGCUACAAAUCGGUUCACUCACCAGGAACAGGAAGAACUUCACAGAUAUCAAUGAGAAAGGUGAUAAUUAGCGGCACUCUCCAUCUGCAAAGGCAGCUCAUAAUUUCCCUUCCAACAGUCAACACUGCUUAAAAAUACAUUCUCAAAAUAAAUCAAUAUAUGGCCGCUUCUUGAACAUCGUACAGAUGCUAUUCUAUUUCUUCAUCAUUUUCAACCGGUUUUCUCGUUAUUGGAAAAGAUAAGAAGUUCUGGAAAAUGUUUUAUCAUCUUGUUUACUAACACACCCUUAAUCCGUGAUUUAGAAUA